GACGAACGCUGGCGGCGUGCUUAACACAUGCAAGUCGAACGGAAAGGCCCUGCUUUUGUGGGGUGCUCGAGUGGCGAACGGGUGAGUAACACGGGAGUAACCUGCCCUUGACUUUGGGAUAACUUCAGGAAACUGGGGCUAAUACCGGAUAGGAGCUCCUGCUGCAUGGUGGGGGUUGGAAAGGUUCGGCGGUUGGGGAUGGACUCGCGGCUUAUCAGCUUGUUGGUGGGGUAGUGGCUUACCAAGGCUUUGACGGGUAGCCGGCCUGAGAGGGUGACCGGCCACAUUGGGACUGAGAUACGGCCCAGACUCCUACGGGAGGCAGCAGUGGGGAAUAUUGCACAAUGGGCGGAAGCCUGAUGCAGCAACGCCGCGUGCGGGAUGACGGCCUUCGGGUUGUAAACCGCUUUCGCCUGUGACGAAGCGUGAGUGACGGUAAUGGGUAAAGAAGCACCGGCUAACUACGUG
rnacentral:rRNA from 1 species